rnacentral:rRNA from 1 species
UUGCGCGGCGAAAAACCUUACACACAGUGUUUUUUGUUAUUACAAGAACUUUUGCUUUGGUCUGGACUAGAAAUAGUUUGGGCCAGAGGUUUACUGAACUAAACUUCAAUAUUUAUAUUGAAUUGUUAUUUAUUUAAUUGUCAAUUUGUUGAUUAAAUUCAAAAAAUCUUCAAAACUUUCAACAACGGAUCUCUUGGUUCUCGCAUCGAUGAAGAACGCAGCGAAAUGCGAUAAGUAAUAUGAAUUGCAGAUUUUCGUGAAUCAUCGAAUCUUUGAACGCACAUUGCGCCCUCUGGUAUUCCAGAGGGCAUGCCUGUUUGAGCGUCAUUUCUCUCUCAAACCUUCGGGUUUGGUAUUGAGUGAUACUCUUAGUCGAACUAGGCGUUUGCUUGAAAUGUAUUGGCAUGAGUGGUACUGGAUAGUGCUAUAUGACUUUCAAUGUAUUAGGUUUAUCCAACUCGUUGAAUAGUUUAAUGGUAUAUUUCUCGGUAUUCUAGGCUCGGCCUUACAAUAUAACAAACAAGUUUGACCUCAAAUCAGGUAGGAUUACCCGCUGAACUUAAGCAUAUCGA